rnacentral:pre_miRNA from 7 species
UUCUUAUAAGAUGUUGAAAGACCCCCGAAGGGAGACCCUUACUCAAACACUCAAGUCCCGGGACAGCCGCGUACCCAAGAAGACACUGAGACCA